UUAGAUACCCUAUUAUUUUAAGCUAUAUAUUGGUAGUAAUUAAUAAUUUAUGAAAUCAUAAGAUUUUGGCGGUAUUUUAAGCUUAUUAGAGGAAUUUGCUCUGUAAUGGAUACAACGCCUUAAUCUUACUUAAUUUGGUUUUAAAGUCAGUUUGUAUACCACUAUAUUUAAUUAUAUUGAAUAAUUAUAUUUAAGAUUUUUUUUUUAUAAAAAAUAUAUUAAGUCAAGGUGCAAUUUAUAAUUAUGAAUGAAGUGAAUUACAUUAAUUUUAAUUUUACUUAAAUAUUGAAAAAAAAYUAUAGGAUUUAAUAG
rnacentral:rRNA from 1 species